rnacentral:misc_RNA from 1 species
GAAAAUAGUAAUGGUAGUUAAAUGAGUUUUUUUAGGGUUUAAUAGAUAUAUUUAUUUUAAGGUUAGAAUAUUUGAUAUUAAGUUUUUUAAAGAAUAAUUUAAAUUUAUUAAGUAAAAAUUAGUUUAUUUGUGUUAGAAUAAUUAUUAAAUGGGAGUGAUUGAUAUAUUAGAUAUUAUGUUUUUUAAAAUGUUUAUUAAAGUUUUAUAUUGAUAUUUUAUAUUGUU